rnacentral:rRNA from 1 species
UACGAAGGGUGCAAGCGUUAUCCGGAUUUAUUGGGUUUAAAGGGUGCGUAGGCGGGUUGGUAAGUCAGCGGUGAAAUCCUGUAGCUCAACUACAGAACUGCCGUUGAUACUACUGAUCUUGAGUAUGGUUGAUGUUGCUGGAAUGUGCAGUGUAGCGGUGAAAUGCUUAGAUAUUGCACAGAACACCAAUUGCGAAGGCAGGUAACAAAGCCACAACUGACGCUGAGGCACGAAAGUGUGGGGAUCAAACAGG